GACGAACCGUGCGAACGUUAUUCGGAAUCACUGGGCUUAAAGGGCGCGUAGGUGGUUGAUCAAGUCUGGGGUGAAAUCUUUCGGCUUAACCGGAAAAGUGCCUUGGAUACUGAUCAGCUGGAGGGAGGUAGGGGCAGUUGGAACUUCCAGUGGAGCGGUGAAAUGCGUUGAUAUUGGAAGGAACGCCGGUGGCGAAAGCGAACUGCUGGACCUCUUCUGACACUGAGGCGCGAAAGCCAGGGGAGCAAACGGG
rnacentral:rRNA from 1 species